CCUACGGGGGGCAGCAGUCGAGAAUCUUCCGCAAUGGGCGAAAGCCUGACGGAGCGACGCCGCGUGGAGGAUGAAGGCCUUCGGGUUGUAAACUCCUGUCACGAGUUAAGAAGGCGCAUGUGCGAACAGCACAGGCGUUUGACGUAAGCUCGAGAGGAAGCACUGGCUAACUCUGUGCCAGCAGCCGCGGUAAUACAGAGAGUGCAAACGUUGUUCGGAAUUACUGGGCUUAAAGCGCGCGUAGGCGGCACUGUAAGUGUCUGGUGAAAUCCCACGGCUCACCCGUGGAACUGCCGGGCAUACUGCGGUGCUAGAGUGUGGUAGGGGAGAGCGGAACUCCUGGUGGAGCGGUGAAAUGCGUAGAUAUCAGGAGGAACACCGGUGGCGAAGGCGGCUCUCUGGUCCGUAUCUGACGCUGAGGUGCGAAAGCUAGGGGAGCAAACGGGAUUAGAUACCCUAGUAGUC
rnacentral:rRNA from 1 species